CUCAAACUAAUUUUUGUAUAAGAAAGUUUACCACAAAUAUUUUUAAAACAGAAAAAAAAAACAGAAUAAGAAAAUAAUUACAAAAGUGUGAUUGGUCAAAAAGUGACCACUAAGAUGCAAGUGCGAGGAUCACACUUCCUUUUAACCACAGCCAUCGAUUUAACAAAAUCUAAUGGCCAAGAAUGCACAAAGUGAAAAGUGUGUUUCUUCCUCUGUCUCCUCCUACCUUUCUUUCGUAUCCUCUGUCUAUGUAUCUCAUCUUCUUUUUUUUUUUGUAACUUAGGCUUUCAGUUGUAUCUCAUCUUCUUCUUCACCUUUAAUCAAAAUCACUCCAUAUACGAAAUCUGUCUCAACCACCAUCACCUUAACUUUCGCCUCUGCCACCAUCAUCUUCAUCUUCAUCUCAACGUUCACUACCUCCGCCAACGAAGCCGUCUCUACCACCAUCACCAUAACCUCCGCCGCUGUCACCAUCAUCUUCAUCUCCAUCUCCUCAUGCAAGUUCACGAAGAAGAUGAAGACAUAUUGUGAAGGAAGAGGCAGAAGAUGAUAACGGAAAGGAAGUAAAAGAAAUUUGAUGGCGAAGGACGCUUGCCGAGCAGAUCGAACAGUGGCUCCAGCACCAGAUCUAGUCCUCGCUUCAGCCAUAGCACCUAGAGCAGGUGGAGGUGUAGAGGAUGAUGGAGGUGUCGGUGGAGAAGCUGGUGGCGGAAGCAGUGGUGGAGCCGGAACGGUUGGUCGGAGCCGGUGGAAGCCGAUAAUCUAUAUAUUUUUGUAUUUAUGUAUGUAUGUGCUUGUAAAUAUAUGUAAUUUACAGUAUAUAUAAAUUUAGUUUUUUCUAAA